rnacentral:rRNA from 1 species
GUGGGGAAUAUUGGGCAAUGGGCGCAAGCCUGACCCAGCGACGCCGCGUGAGGGAAGACAGCCUUCGGGUUGUAAACCUCUGUUGCAGGGGAAGAAGGAAGUGACGGUACCCUGCGAGGAAGCUCCGGCUAACUACGUGCCAGCAGCCGCGGUAAUACGUAGGGAGCGAGCGUUGUCCGGAAUUACUGGGCGUAAAGGGCGCGUAGGCGGCGCUUCAAGUCGUCUGUCAAAAGCCGAGGCUCAACCUCGGCGCGCAGACGAAACUGGAGAGCUUGAGAAGCAGAGAGGCAAACAGAAUUCCUGGUGUAGCGGUGAAAUGCGUAGAUAUCAGGAAGAAUACCAGUGGCGAAGGCGGUUUGCUGGCUGCAUACUGACGCUGAAGCGCGAAAGCCAGGGGAGCAAACGGG